AGUUAGGUCACUUGCCCAAGGUCAUACAGCUGGUCGGUGGUGGAGCAGGGGUUUGUCUGUGGCCGAAAGCCCCUGCUCUUUCAGUGGCCCAUCUAGGUCAGCUUUGGGCAAAAGGCAACUUCACUGCUCAGCUCAGCAGAGAGCACCUGGGAGUGGAGGCUGCUGGCCACACUCACCGCAGGUCGGGAUGCACUGAAGCAGACUUGAUGUUGGUUUUUAUUCCACUUGGCAUUUCCCCUGGUUGGCCUGCGUGGGCCCUUUGCACCCCACUGAGCACUGACUGCUGCUGGCUUGGGGCACCUGAGAACAUGGAUGGGUGUGUGCCUGUUACCAACUUCGUACUCCCCUGCUCCAAACACACCCUUCUCUGUCCAGCUCUGUGAUCCUGUCAGCCAGUGCCGCGUAGGCCUCGUCAGUCCUAACACGGGGAAGGUGCUAGAGGAACACAGGCUUCUCUUCCUCGUUCCAGAACUUUCUUCCGGUUUCUACAGCACAGCUGCCAGUGGGCGGCUUCCCAGUGAGAUUUUGCCAUCACCCAGCACACAGUUUCCUGCUUGCCAACCGCAGCCUGCAGCACCUCAGCAAACUCCUCUGCUGUCCCGUGGGCCACCACCACGCCCUCACCAAUGAGUGCUGGCGGGGAGGGCGGGCCACUUCCAAGUUUAUUCCUUCCGUGGGUUUUCUAUGUCAUCUCUGGAGGUUGUGGCUGCCUCCUGUGUAUGUUCCUUCUGUAUUCUUUAGAGUCCUAUUUACCCCAUUCAGCGGUUAAUUUUCGUUUACUAAUUACCAAUUCUCUAUAUUGCAUGCUCCCUGUUCAAAGGACUGGUGUGGUCUCUGCCUCCUGACUGGAUCCUGGCUGAUACAGAAUGCAGUAAUUACUUCUUUCCCUUCUCAUUUGAGAACAAGGCCUUUCAAAGAAAAUGGAGAACAUAGUGGUCGGUAAAUACAGAAGUGAAAUUUCUGGGUCAUAAGGUAGCAGUUAUGAAUUCCACCAUGACCCCUGGACUACAAGAAAUGCCAAGCUCAGCCCUAAACUUCAUUGUCAGUUUCCUAAUCUGUAAAUGGGAUUAAAUGAGAGACCUAUGGUGAUUAGCACAGGGCCUGCCGUGUAGUAAUCAUUCAGUAAGUAGUAACCAGAGAGGGUGUUACUGCUGCUGCUGUUGUAGUUAGUUAGGUUCCUCACACCACACUCUGAUCCCAGGGAGAAAAUGUUCCUCCAUGAUUGCUUGAAGAGAGAACUGGCUAAGGAAAGUAGCAGCAAGUAGCAACAGGUCCAAAUGCCAAGAAUUUCUCGUUGAGUUCCCAGAGAAGUGAGUAUGGGAGCGCUGGGGCCAAAAAGGCAGACAGUAGCAAACCAGAGUGAGGACGUGGAGAAAUCAGGAACUUCACACUGCUGAUGGGGAGCUAAAAUGGUGCAGCCACUUUGGGGAACAGUCUGGCCGUUUUUUGAACAAAAUCCAAUAAAUGAAAGAUAUAAAUAUGAAAUAAACAAAUACACCGAAACACGGGAAGAGGAGGUCUCAACAGGCCUGGAACUGAACCUACAAGGAGUGGUUAAAGGAAGACAAAAUUAGAUUGAAGAGGGAAAUCUCAGCCCACAAUGUGUAGAGGAGCCAAGAAGAGAGUCUUUCAAAGGUACUGGGAGCAGCCCUUAGGAUGCCUCAGACCCAAGUGGGGUAAAGAUGUGGGAGGAGAUCCAGGGACCACUGCGAGGGUACUUAGUUGGGGCAUUGAGGCAGGAGCAGGUAGCACCCCCAUUGGAACCCAGGCAGUUGUGGUGGGAUGUGGGAGUUUAGGGCAGGGAGACAAGGCAGUACUGAGGUGGCAAGGACCACCCAGGAGAAACUGGUAGUGCCCAAACCCAGAAGACCAGCUGCUGAGAUAUCCUACUCCAGGGGUGGGUAACCCAUGGCACGCCAGUAAAUUUGCUGGCACAUGAAACCCUCUCUUAUAAUCUUCAAUUUACAAUCGUGAAUCUUUGUUCUCGGUGAUGAAUUUUGUUAAGUCUCGUAAUAGGAGUAGCCUGACAGAUGAAAGUAGUAGCUCGUGCAUA